UAGCACCUCAAGCAAUAAUAUCAGCACCAAUGUCAUCAUAUGCAGUACCAUCAGCAUCAAUAUCAUCUGCAG
rnacentral:lncRNA from 1 species